AAAGGAAUAGACGGGGAGGCGCACAACCAGUGGAGCAUGUGGUUCAAUUCGAUACGAAGCGAUAAACCUUACCUGGGUUUGAAAUGUAUCUGCAAGCUUUAUGAAAGUAGAGCCGCCUUCGAGGGUGAUACACAGCUGUUGCAUGGCUGUCGUCAGCUCGUGACGUGAGUUGUUCUCUUAAGUGAGGUAACGAGCGCAACCCCCAUUCCGUGUUACUGUGUCACGGAAGACUGCCCAGCAUUAUUUUGUUGGGAGGAAGGAGGGGACGAUGUCAAGUCAUCAUGAUGCUUAUAUCCAGGGCUACACACAUCCUACAAUGGGUUGUACAGAGGGUUGCAAGACCGCAAGGUGGAGCGAAUCCCUAAAACAUCCCUCAGUUGGGAUUGCAGGCUGCAAUUUGCCUGCAUGAACCCGGAAUUGGUAGUAAUCGCAAAUCAGAAGAUUGCGGUGAAUACGUUCUCGCCUCUUGCACACACCGCCCGU
rnacentral:rRNA from 1 species